UCUUCAUUUCACACACUUUCACCAUCGGUCAGAGAGGCGAGAGAGUGUGCGAAAUGAAGAGA
rnacentral:pre_miRNA from 1 species